rnacentral:rRNA from 1 species
AUCAGCCCGCGCCCCGUAAAACGGGACGGCCCGCCCGAGGACCCCUAAACUCUGUUUUUAGUGGAACUUCUGAGUAAAACAAACAAAUAAAUCAAAACUUUCAACAACGGAUCUCUUGGUUCUGGCAUCGAUGAAGAACGCAGCAAAAUGCGAUAAGUAAUGUGAAUUGCAGAAUUCAGUGAAUCAUCGAAUCUUUGAACGCACAUUGCGCCCGCCAGUAUUCUGGCGGCAUGCCUGUUCGAGCGUCAUUUCAACCCUCAAGCUCAGCUUGGUGUUGGGACUCGCGGUAACCCGCGUUCCCCAAAUCGAUUGGCGGUCACGUCGAGCUUCCAUAGCGUAGUAAUCAUACACCUCGUUACUGGUAAUCGUCGCGGCCACGCCGUAAAACCCCAACUUCUGAAUGUUGACCUCGGAUCAGGUAGGAAUACCCGCUGAACUUAAGCA